AGCCAUGAUGUGGGCAAGAGUUUAGAAGAUCCUUUAAUCUUUCCCAGCAUUGGAAGAAGGUCUCAUCCUCUUUCUGGAAAUAAAUCAUGAUCGCCCUCCUCAGGGU